UGCAGAAAAAGGAGUUUUCUGGCACCUGUUACUAAAAUGACAAGCCUGCAGGGAUGCAGGGGGAUUUAUGUGACAUUGCUCUCAGGAUCCUCUUGUUUUCAAUUCCAAGAAAGAUGCUAUAAUCAGCACACACCCACGUGCAUCUGAGAUGCAGGUGAAAAUGCUGAGUUUACUUUGUGACUGUGAAAAAAUUACAUUGCUUCAGUACCUGAUUUCCAGAUACAGGUUUGAAGAACCUGUGCAAGGUUUAGAGAUUGUGUUGGGGUCAACUGUCCCAUCCGGGCCUUAUAUGAAAAAGCUGGCUGAGAAAGACUAGACCCUCCCUGGUUCAAUGGUUGCCAGUAUUAUGAAAUGUCCAGCCAACCAAACAUCUGCAGCUACAAACUCCCUGCUGAGAAACUGGCAAGACACAAAGAAAUGGAAAUCAACAAAGGAGUCGCUCUGAAAACGCAAGAGCUUCUGGCAGCCUCACUGACCGGAGACCAUAUCCCCUUCAGAAACCAGUUGAAAACAGGACUAUUUACAAUGAACACGAAAUGAAAAGCAUGCUGUAGUAGUGACCCAGAAGGAAUGUGGCUUCUUCUCCAGGACUCAGAGACCCGUGGAUGGACUGUGCUUCUAGAUUUUACCUCCAGCUUCUCUGAGACUGGUUUCUGUUCCACCCUAGUGAAACAGAUACUUUGGAUUGAAGUCUCAGCUGUGGAGAAAUAUCAGCAAUUAAGUCACCCCGCCCCCCACUGGCAAACAAUUGGAAAAGAAAAAUCAAACCUUCCUACCACCGUGCACCUAGGGCACCACCUGAUUUGUCCUCAGGUGAUUGGUUCAGUUCAAAAAUGUC